GGUUUGUGGCUCAGCGGUAGAGCGCUCGCCUGCACAUGCAGGACCCUGGGUUCGAUCUUCAGCACCA
rnacentral:tRNA from 1 species